rnacentral:lncRNA from 1 species
CAAUUUACAAAGUAAAAAGGUUUAAUUGGACUCACAGUUCCACGUGGCUGGGGAGGUCUCACAAUCACGGUGGAAGGCAAGGAGGAACAAGUCACGUCUUACAUGGAUGGCAGCAGGCAAAAAAAGAGCUUGUGAAGAGAACUCCCAUUUUCAAAACCAUCAAAUCUCAUGAGAUGCAUUCACCACCACAAGAACAGCACAGAAAAAGACCAGCCCCAAUGAUUCAAUCAUCUCCCACUGGGUCCCUCCCACAACACAUGGGAAGCAGGGGAGCUACAAGAUGAGAUUUGGGUGGGGACACAGAGCCAAGUCAUAUCAUUCUGCCUCUGGCUCCUCCCAAAUCUCAUGUUUUCACAUUUCAAAACCAAUCAUGCUUUCCCAAUAGUCCCCCAAAGUCUUAACUCAUUACAGCAUUAACUCAAAAGUCCACAGUCCAAAGUCUCAUCUGAGAUAAGGUAAUUCCCUUCCACCUAUGAGCCUGUAAAAUCGAAAGCAAGUUAGUUACUUCCUAGAUACAAUGGGGGUACAGGCAUUGGGUAAAUACAGCCAUUCCAAAUGGGAGAAAUUGGCCAAAACAGAGGGCCACAGGCCCCAUGCAAGUCCAAAAUCCAGCAGUCAAAUCUUGGAGCUCCAAAUGAUCUCCUUUGAUUCCAUGUCUCACAUCUAGGUCACGCUAAUGCAAGAGAUGGGUUCCCAUGGUCUUGUGCAGUUCUGCCCCUGUGGCAUUGCAGGGUACAGCCUCCCUCCCAGCUGCUUUCACAGGCUGGCAUUGAGUGUUGAUGGCUGUUCCAGGUGCACGGUGCAAGCUGCCGAUGGAUCUACCAUUCUGGGGUCUGGGUUUGGAGGACGGUAGCCCUCUUCUCACAGCUCCACUAGGUGGUGCCCAUUAGGGACUCUGUGUGGUGGCUCUGAUCCCACAUUUCCCUUCCUCAUUGCCUUACCAGAAGUUCCCCAUGAGGGCUCUGCCCCUGCAGCAAACUUCUGCCUGGGCAUCCAGGCGUUUCCAUGCAUCAUCCAAAAUCUAGGCAGAGGUAACCAAACCUCAGUUCUUGACUUUUGUGCACCCGAAGGCUCAACACCAUGUGGAACCUACCAAGACUUGGGGCUUGCACCCUCUGAAGCAAUAGCCCAAGCUGUACUUUGGCCCCUUUUAUUCAUGACUAGAGUGGCUAGGAUUCAGGGCACCAAGUCUCUAGUCUGCACACAGUGGAGGGACCAUGGGCCUGACCCAAUAUUUAAGACGUUUAUUCCUCCUAAACCUCCUGGCCUGUGAAGGGAGGGGUUGUCACAAAGGUCUCUGACACACGCUGGAGACAUUUUCCCUAUUGUCUUGGUGAUUAACAUUCAGCUCCUCAUUACUUUUGCAAAUUUCUGCAGCUGGCUUGAAUUUCUCCUCAGAAAAUGGAAUUUUCUCUUCUAUCUCAUUGUCAGGCUGCAAAUUUUCCAAACUUUUAUGCUCUGUUUUCCUUUAAAACUGAAUGACUUUAACAGCACCCAAGUCACCUCUUGAAAGCUUUGCUGCUUUGAAAUUUCUUCCACCAGGUACUGUAAAUCAUCUCUCUCAAGUUCGAAGUUCCACAAAUCUCUAGGGCAGAGGCAAAAUGCAACCAGUAUCUGCUAAAACAUAACAAGUUCCUCAUUUCCCAACAAGUUCCUCAUUUCCAUCUGAGGCCACCUCAGCCUGGACUUUAUUGUCCAUAUUACUAUUAGCAUUUUGGGCAAAGCCAUUCAAGAAGUUUCUAGGCAGUUCCAAACUUCUCACAUUUUUCUGUCUUCUUGUGAGCCCCCCAAACUGUUCUAAUCCCUGCCUGUUACCAAGUUCCAGAGUCGUUUCCACAUUUUCAGGUAUCUACAGUAGUGCCCCACUCUACUGGUAACAAUUUACUAUAUUAGUCCAUUUUCAUGCUGCUGAUAAAGGCAUACCCAAGGCUGAGCAGUUUACAAAAGAAAGAGGUUUAAUUGGACUCACAGUUCCAUGUGGCUGAGGAGGCCUCACAAUCAUGGCAGAAGGUAAGGAGGAACAAGUCAUGUCUUACACGGAUGGCAGCAGGCAAAAAAAGAGCUUGUGUGGGGAAACUCCCAUUUUCAAAACCAUGAGAUCUCAUGAGACCCAUUUACCACUGUAAGAACAGCACAGAAAAAUACCCACCCCUAUGAUUCAAUCAUCUCCCACUCAGCCACUCCCACAACACAUGGGAAUCAUGGGAGCUACACGAUGAGAUUUGGGUGGGGACACAAAGGCAAAGAUUUCACAUAUGCAAGAUUUCAUCCUUGAGAACACUAUAUGCAUACAGAAAACUGCACUCAGUCGAAAUGAACUAUGUAACUGUCCACAAAAUGCACACAAGCAGACACCUCAAAUAUCUACUGGCUACUUCAGCUCACUAGGAGCCACAACUAUACAUAUCCAGUGUUACAACUUUCUGAUUUCAAGUAAGCCUCUCUCCACCCUUCACAGUCACUCACAAGAGCAACCUUUCUAACAUCCCCAUCCACAGGCAAGCUUCAGGUCUUUUUUAAAGCAGGACACCAUAAUUAUUGUAAUAUUUAAGUGACAUAAGUCUGUAUUUCUAGACCUUUGGGACCCAUUUGACAUCUCACCCUGCAAAGGCUUCCAAAAUAGCCUAAUUCUGAGAGUGCUUUUCUGAGCUUCAGCGGAAGCAUGGGAGAACACUGCCCACCUUCCCGCAUUUUUGUCUCCUGCAUCUUUCAGUUAUUCACUCUUUAGGAAUGUGCCAAGGUGAAAUCCAUGUUGAAUUCAAUAUAAGCCUUCAGUCUCACCCAUUUUUGAAACAGAAGCAGUCUCUGAAGAAUGGUCUAGCACAAUUUUCAAAUUGUUUAGAUGUGAUUCUUUGUAAAAUGAAGGAAGAAGGAAACAUGAACUCUAAAAUUUUCCAAUUUGGGGUCACAACUGGUCCCACUCUAGUCACUUGGGAUUUAGUAUUCAUAUUCAAAAUGCUGAGACUUAAAGUUUUUUUUUUUUUUUGAACAUUUCAUUAGCACUGGAGUCACACCCCAGUGUACUCCAUAAGGUAACAAAAGAAAAUAAAAGCAAAAAUCUUUAUCCCGUGUUAUUGUUUAGUGAGUCAGUCACACACAACAAAGGCAGUAAAUCUCCACAGCUAAAAGGAGCUUAAUGGUUGAAACAUCCUCAGGGGAUAUGAGAAGCAGCAAAAUAAUAAUUGCAAAGAAUAACACAUGAUGCCUGCGAUUACUAAUGUUUAGUUUCUGAAGAUCGCUAUAGUAUAAUAUUUGAAAGUGAAUUACUGUAUUAAUCCUCACUAGAAGCUCCAAAGAGGAGUAUUUUCAGUUUUAAUACAGACUUACACCAUGACUAAAGGUUCUUUUAAUCUUUGUUCCCUAUCUCUGUCUUUCCGUAAAAUGGUCCAUCUAAAUUUUCUUACCUUCCUAAAGUGGAAUGAGGAUUAUCUAUUAAAUAGUUUCAAAGCCCCUGGGAAAUGUGAAUUGUGGCGCUAUGACUGCAUGACAGUAGAUGGAGCCGCGAAGACAUGAGGAAUUGGCUGAUUCCCUGUGCCUUGAAGAUAGGAACGUUUAUGAGUCCCAGGGGACAGGGACAGCCCCCGGAUGUGAGUAGUUUCCAGAGAAACAAGUUGAUCUGAAGUUUUUCCUGGAGAGUUGGAAAAUCUGCCACAUGUCAUCCAGCGCUUAUUUCUUUGGUGGGUUUUACACUUGGGUGUCAUUCAGCAGUUUUAUGAGAGCAAGACAAUGGAUAGAGAAGCCAUAAAAAAAAUUCUUCUAGUUCUUUAAGGUAUGAGUCAUCUUUACCAUUGAAACCUUUGGUCACAGCCUGAAUAGAAGAGGCAACAUGCACUGCUUUUUUUUUUUUUUUUUUUUUUUUUGGUAGGGGUGGAGGGAGAAGAGUUUUCAAAUGUGUUGCUUCCAUUCAGGAGGGAAAGAUUAUUUAGGGAUCUAUUGAUUUUUCAUAUGUGGUUUGAUUGCAUUUUCCCUCACUUGAGUUUCUGGAUGUGCUCAUAGAUUGAACCUCAGUUAUGUGGGAACUUUCAGUGUCAGUUUCUAAGAGUAAGAGGCACGGCAGCAUUAAUUUGACCUUCUCCAUGAUAAGGGAUCCAUUUUAGAAACAGUAAUAAUAGCUCACACUUGUUGAACACUUAUUUGUUGUCAGGACCUGAUAUAAAUGUUUCAUAUGUCUUUACUUAUUUAAUGUGCAUAGCAGCUACAAUGCAGUAGUUGUGGUAGAUUGUGCAAAAGUGGCUGCAAUUCUCCAACCUUCCCUGUAUCUGCAUCCCUUUGCAAUGUAACUGCAACUCCUUGCAUCAAGAGAUGAAGUCAAUAUCCUCACCUUCUAAAUCUGGGCUAACUCCCUCGUGGCUCUGUGAUUAGAGGUGCUGGCUGACCUUGGGUGGCCCCAGAUGGAUGGCUCCUCUGGCUUCCUCCACAUGGUCUCUUAUCCUUCAGCUAACUAGCCCAGGCUUGCUCACCUGGCUGAUGGACAGGGUCUAAGAGAAGAAAGACAAGGGCAAGGCCUUUUUGAGGUCUAGGUUCGGAAAUGCCACAACAAUACUUCUCCUACAUGCUGUCAGACAAAGAAAGUCAUAGUGGCCAACCCAGAUUUGAGGGGUAAACAAUAAUCUACCUAUUGAUGGGAGUUGCCACAAAGUCACACUACAAAGGGCCUGAAUACAGGAAGAGCCAUUUUCCCCCAUGGGUUUCAAAUGACCAUGAGAAUCCACAUUGCCAUCAUCUAGAACAGUAAAAAGUGAACUAAUGAUUAAUACAUUCAAACAUCAGCUCUUCAUUAAGUUGCUUCUGAAGUGGAUACUGCACAAUCUUGUAAAUGAUUAUUCAUGGUCUUUUCACAUAAGUCACCCAAUAGUUUGACAUUGUCUUUCAAUUUUCUCCUUUAUAUCAUUAGUUCCUUUACUUUUAAGGCAGACUUGGACAAAAUUCAUUGUUUAUUAUAUAAUAAGUAUAGUGAGUAUACCACUCCAAAGAGGACUGGACAAAGCAAGAAGACAAAAA